rnacentral:rRNA from 1 species
UACGUAGGCAGCGAGCGUUGUUCGGAAUCACUGGGCGUAAAGGGCGCGUAGGCGGCUUUGUAAGUCGGGGGUGAAAGCCUGUGGCUCAACUACAGAAUUGCCUUCGAUACUGCAUGGCUUGAGACCGGAAGAGGUAAGUGGAACUGCGAGUGUAGAGGUGAAAUUCGUAGAUAUUCGCAAGAACACCAGUGGCGAAGGCGGCUUACUGGUCCGGUUCUGACGCUGAGGCGCGAAAGCGUGGGGAGCAAACAGG